rnacentral:tRNA from 1 species
ACAGUGGUAGUUCAGGAGUAGAAUUCCCCCCUUCCAUGCAGGAGACCCAAGUUCAAUUCCUGGCCAAUGCA